rnacentral:rRNA from 1 species
UACAGAGGUCUCAAGCGUUGUUCGGAUUCAUUGGGCGUAAAGGGUGCGUAGGCGGCGCGGUAAGUCGGGUGUGAAAUUUCGAGGCUUAACUUCGAAACUGCAUCCGAAACUGCCUUGCUCGAGUAUGGGAGAGGGAAGUGGAAUUUCCGGUGUAGCGGUGAAAUGACGUAGAUAUCGGAAGGAACAUCAGUGGCGAAGGCGGCGACCUGGUCCGAUACGUGACGCUGAGGCGCGGAAAAGCGUGGGGAGCAAACAGG